rnacentral:rRNA from 1 species
CCUACGGGAGGCAGCAGUGGGGAAUUUUGGACAAUGGGCGCAAGCCUGAUCCAGCCAUGCCGCGUCAGUGAAGAAGGCCUUCGGGUUGUAAAGCUCUUUCGGCCGGGAAGAAAUCGCACGCUCUAACAUAGCGUGUGGAUGACGGUACCGGACUAAGAAGCACCGGCUAACUACGUGCCAGCAGCCGCGGUAAU